GAUGAAGAACGCAGCGAAAUGCGAUAAGUAAUGUGAAUUGCAGAAUUCAGUGAACCAUCGAAUCUUUGAACGCACAUUGCGCCCGGCAGUAAUCUGCCGGGCAUGCCUGUCCGAGCGUCAUUGCUGCCCUCAAGCACGGCUUGUGUGUUGGGCCUCCGUCCUCCUCCCGGGGGACGGGCCCGAAAGGCAGCGGCGGCACCGCGUCCGGUCCUCGAGCGUAUGGGGCUUCGUCACCCGCUCUUGUAGGCCCGGCCGGCGCUUGCCGACACAUCAAUCUUUUUUCCAGGUUGACCUCGGAUCAGGUAGGGAUACCCGCUGAACUUAAGCAUAUCAAUAAGCGGAGGA
rnacentral:misc_RNA from 1 species